rnacentral:rRNA from 1 species
GAUGAACGCUAGCGGCAGGCCUAAUACAUGCAAGUCGGACGAUAGUGAGAAGCUUGCUUCUCACGAAAGUGGCGCACGGGUGCGUAACGCGUAUGCAACCUACCUUAAUCAGGGGGAUAGCCCGAAGAAAUUCGGAUUAACACCGCAUAAAAUCACAGUAUAGCAUUAUACAAUGAUCAAAUAUUUAUAGGAUUAAGAUGGGCAUGCGUGACAUUAGCUAGUUGGCGGGGUAACGGCCCACCAAGACCACGAUGUCUAGGGGAUCUGAGAGGAUGACCCCCCACGCUGGUACUGAGACACGGACCAGACUCCUACGGGAGGCAGCAGUAAGGAAUAUUGGUCAAUGGAGGCAACUCUGAACCAGCCAUGCCGCGUGCAGGAAGACAGCCCUCCGGGUCGUAAACUGCUUUUAUUCGGGAAUAAACCUAUCUACGUGUAGAUAGCUGAAUGUACCGAAGGAAUAAGGAUCGGCUAACUCCGUGCCAGCCGCCGCCGUAA